rnacentral:rRNA from 1 species
AAUCAACGCUGGCGGCGUGCCUCAGACAUGCAAGUCGAACGAUUAAAGCUCUCUUCGGAGAGUGUAUAGAGUGGCGCACGGGUGAGUAACACGUAAGUAAUCUACCCUCGAGUGGGGAAUAACAACCGGAAACGGUUGCUAAUACCGCAUAAUGCAGCGGCACCGCAAGGUGACAGUUGUUAAAGAUUUAUCGCUUGAGGAGGAGCUUGCGGCAGAUUAGCUAGUUGGUAGGGUAACGGCUUACCAAGGCUACGAUCUGUAACCGGUCUAAGAGGACGGUCGGUCACACUGACACUGAAUAACGGGUCAGACUCCUACGGGAGGCAGCAGUCGGGAAUUUUGGGCAAUGGGCGAAAGCCUGAUCCAGCAACGCCGCGUGAAGGAUGAAGUAUUUCGGUAUGUAAACUUCGAAAGAAUAGGAAGAAUUAAUGACGGUACUAUUUAUAAGGUCCGGCUAACUACGUG